AUUAAUUUGGUGAUUAUUAAUUUUGAUAUUGAAAAAUGAUGAUUAAAAUCCAGGGAUGUAAGUAUUUUAGAAUAACUAUCUAUUAAUUUUGUUAAUUUUAUUUCAACAGUUAAAUUGAUUAAUAAUAAUAGUAUGUAGAUUGAUUUAUAUUUUAAAUUGAGUACUAUUUAUAUGGGUGCAAUUCCAUCCUGAGCCCCAAUCCCAACUGUCCAGGUAGUAGAAGAUGCAACAACCAGGAGGCCACAUUAUUAUUAUUUUGUGUAUGACCUACGGAUGUCCUUUUGCAGAUGAGCAGUAUCACUGUUUAUGGCCAUGCGAUACAAUCCCGAAGAUGUUUGCCCAUGCAGUCCCAUCUGUUACCCAGUUCGUUGUCAUAUUUGGUGGCAGGAACUGCACCAGAAUGUUAGUGAAUAGUACCCCCCACAAAUGUGGGAAGAGAUGGCACACUUCAGACAUAUGAAGUCAGUCAACAUCAACACUUUGCAAAAAUGUAGGAAGUGUUUCUUUGGUGGAGUUAAUGAUGAAAUUUCAAAAAUCACGUACAGCAUGCAGUUCAUCACCUUUUACGAAAAAUACUGCAUAAGAACUCAUUCAGAAACAUUCUUUGUAAAUAACACCUGGGUUUCACAAUAAGAAUGUAGGUUGUAAAUUUGCAUCAAAUGUUCAAUUUGCAUCAUAUAUCAUGAACAUUUCACUCUCUAGUUGAAAGAUCAUCUGAGUGUUUGAUGAACAACAAUGUAUAAUUUUUAUCUAUUUCAAAAUAAAACUUUUAGAUGGU
rnacentral:lncRNA from 1 species